rnacentral:rRNA from 1 species
UACGAGGGGGGCGAGCGUUGUUCGGAAUUAUUGGGCGUAAAGGGUGCGUAGGCGGUUCCGCAAGUCCUGUGUGAAAUCUUCGGGCUCAACUCGAAGUCUGCACGGGAAACUGCGGGGCUUGAGUGUGGGAGAGGUGAGUGGAAUUCCCGGUAUAGCGGUGAAAUGCGUAGAUAUCGGGAGGAACACCUGUGGCGAAAGCGGCUCACUGGACCAUAACUGACGCUGAUGCACGAAAGCUGGGGGAGCAAACAGG